ensembl:lncRNA
AUGAGUUUCUUACUGGCUGAAGAUGGCUACUCUGGGGUUGAGGUGCGAGUUACACCAACCAGGACAGAAGUCAUUAUCUUAGCCACCAGAACACAGAACGCUCUUGGCACUAAGGAUUCAGAGGCACAUAAGAACCAGUGCCUACCCUGGGAACGCAUCAUCUACCAGUAAUAAAAGCACAUGCCAAUGUAAUGUGAUAAGCGUCAGCACAAAGAUGUGAACGGGUGGCUGAGCUAGGAGAGCAAGGGAGGCUGACUGCCUGAAAGCUGACUCUCCUCUGGAUGCAUCAUGGGUCCUGGUGACGAACUGCUUCCUUCUCUUAACUACUCACCACUUUCAUAAUCCAAUAAUCCUGUAAGAUAGAUCCAUUUGUCUGUGGAUAGUGAAUUCUCUUUGACAUUUCUGUUCAAAUGAAAACUUUUAAAAACUAAAACAUUUAGAAGUUAACAUUUUGGUGCUGUGAACAGUUAAUUGGUGUGAACACUCCUUGACUAAAUACAAAAAAGAAUGGACUUUGAUUAUAAAUUCACUCCUGGUAGACCUGAAAUACAGUUAUUAGGUACUUGUACUAAUGAUGGUGAGAUCAAGCUAAAUAUUAUAUACAAUAAAUGUCAUGUGGGUCAAAUUCCUCAUAGCAGGGUCAUGUAAGUUCAGGCAUUCUAUAAUAUUUGUGCAUUUAUUAUACAUUUAAAUUUUAUUUGUUUUUUAAAUAGAAAAACAAGCAGAACUCAUGUGCAUGCUAUUAUCAUUUUUUAUAUUCUUGCAAUAAAAUUUUCAACAAAAUAAUCCUUAUACUACUCUGUAAUAUUUUGGAAGAUAUAGUUAUUCAUGUUUCUUAGUCUCCACUAUACAUUUGACACAUUGAUAAUACUGAGGUCAAAUAAAUUUGCAUUUUUGCAUUUAAUUGUUAGUUUAAAACUAAAGCAGUUCCUAAAGAAAAAAAUACGAAUGGCCAAUAGGCACAUGAAAAGAUACUAAACAUCUCAUUAGUUAUUAGUUAACUAUAAAUCAAAACCAUAAGACAUCACUUCGUACAUACUAGUGUGGGUAUUAUCAUACAAUCUAUUAUAACAACACAAUAAGUGUUGGAGAGGAUAUGGAGAAAUUGAACCCAUCAGAGAAGAGCAGAUCCUGAUAGUAAACCCCAAAAUUACUCAAAAUAAGUGUAUUAGGAUUCUUUAGAAGGACAGAACUAAUAGGAUAUACGUAUACAUGAAAGGGAGUUUAAGGAGAACUGACUCACACAAUCACAAGGUGAACUCCCACGAUAGGCCGUCGGCAAGUUGAGAAGGAAGGAAACCAGUAGUGGCUCCCUCUGAGUCCCAAAAUGUCAACAGUAGGAAAGCUGACAACACAGGCUUCAGUCUGUGGCUGAAGACCUGAGAGCUACUGGUGUUAAGUCCAAGAGUCCAAAACCUGAAGAACCUGGAGUCUGAUGUUCCAGGGCUGGUAGCAUGCAGCACGGGAAAAAAGGCAAAGGCCAGAAGACUCAGCAAGUCAGCUUCUCCCACCUUUUUCUGCCUGCUUUAUUCUAGCCACACUGGUAGCUGAUUGGAUGGUGGCAACCACACUGAGGGGGGGUCUGCCUCUCCCAGUCCGCUGACUCAAAUGUUAAUCUCCUUCAGCGACAUCCUCACAGACACACUCAGGGACAAUACUUUGCAUCCUUCAAUUCAAUCAAGUUGACACUUAAUAUUAACCAUAGCAAUAGGCUUUUAGAUUCAUUUCUAUAUUUGUCAAUAUAAGAAUAUUAUUUUUUACUGUUAUCAAAAAUAAUUUCAGAUUUCAGUGAUAGAAGUUGUGCUUCAAUGCUUGUUAGUUGAAAAGACAUGUAAUAACAUUGUACUAUAAAUUCAAUAAUAAUUUUCAAGCACUUGUAA